rnacentral:misc_RNA from 1 species
UGGGCGUGUGGNUGGUGUUUGGAUUGCCUCUUCCGUCUGGCUCCGUGCUCGUGCACCGAACGGUCGGCAUGCGAUCCUCGUCCCUUGAUGUGAGGUGUGUUUGAUGCCUCGCAGGUUGGUUCUUGUGCAGCCUACCAUUCUGGGUAAAGGAGGACACUUUGAUGGUUUGCCUCCGUCCUGCGCCUGGCAAUGGGUGCAGGGGAGGAUGAAGCACCCCCCGUGUUCCACUGAGCCUUGAUCGGUCACGUGGCCCUCGGGGUCGUGCAAUGCCCUUGGAUGCAGCGCAUGCUGCGGGCGAGGCCUCGUCCUCGUCCUAAGAGUAUCUUCGAUGUAAUGCAAGACGGUCGCACCCGUUCGCAGUCCGCUUAGGCGGCGCCGCGGCGGGGGGCGACGUCAUUGAGGAUUGCUACCUGGUUGAUCCUGCCAGUAGUCAUNNNCUUGUCUCA